AGGCAAGUCAGGAUGAGGAAAGUAUAUUCCACAAAAGUAAGAAAGUAUACUUCACAAAACCUUUAAGAAACGCUAGCAACUACACACACCAGAAACCACCAGCCCGGAAAGAGGUCUGUGAUUUGCCAGGAAACUCCAGGGGGAAACUGGGGCUUCCCUUCACAGUGUGUGCAUCUCUGUGCUCAGUUUAGAAAUAGCCGGGGGCUGGCUGGGAAUGUGGCUCAGUGGUAGAGUGCUUGCCUUGCAUGCAUGAGGCCUUGGGUUUGAUUCCUCAGCACCA